CUACGGGCUGCAGCAGUGGGGAAUAUUGCACAAUGGAGGGAACUCUGAUGCAGCAACGCCGCGUGGAGGAUGACACUUUUCGGAGCGUAAACUCCUUUUAUAUAGGAAGAAGAUGACGGUACUAUAUGAAUAAGCGCCGGCUAACUCCGUGCCAGCAGCCGCGGUAAUACGGAGGGCGCAAGCGUUACUCGGAAUCACUGGGCGUAAAGAGCGUGUAGGCGGAUUAAAAAGUCAGAAGUGAAAUCCUAUAGCUUAACUAUAGAACUGCUUCUGAAACUCUUAAUCUAGAAUAUGGGAGAGGUAGAUGGAAUUUCUGGUGUAGGGGUAAAAUCCGUAGAGAUCAGAAGGAAUACCGAUUGCGAAGGCGAUCUACUAGAACAUUAUUGACGCUGAGACGCGAAAGCGUGGGGAGCAAACAGGAUUAGAUACCCCAGUAGUC
rnacentral:rRNA from 1 species